CCUACGGGAGGCAGCAGUGAGGAAUAUUGGUCAAUGGACGCAAGUCUGAACCAGCCAUGCCGCGUGCAGGAAGACGGCUCUAUGAGUUGUAAACUGCUUUUGUACGAGGGUAAACGCAGAUACGCGUAUCUGUCUGAAAGUAUCUUACGAAUAAGGAUCUGCUAACUCCGUGCCAGCAGCCGCGGUAAUACGGAGGAUUCAAGCGUUAUCCGGAUUUAUUGGGUUUAAAGGGUGCGUAGGCGGUCGGAUAAGUUAGAGGUGAAAUCCCGAGGCUCAACUUCGGAAUUGCCUCUGAUACUGUUAGGCUAGAGAGUAGUUGCGGUAGGCGGAAUGUAUGGUGUAGCGGUGAAAUGCUUAGAGAUCAUACAGAACACCGAUUGCGAAGGCAGCUUACCAAGCUACGUCUGACGUUGAGGCACGAAAGCGUGGGGAGCAAACAGGAUUAGAUACCCCAGUAGUC
rnacentral:rRNA from 1 species